UACAUGGGGUGCAAACGUUGCUCGGAAUUAUUGGGCGUAAAGCGCGCGUAGGCGGCCACUUAAGUCGGAUGUGAAAGCCCUUGGCUCAACUGAGGAAGUGCACCCGAAACUGAAUGGCUUGAGUACUAAAGAGGGUCGCGGAAUUCCCGGUGUAGAGGUGAAAUUCGUAGAUAUCAGGAGGAACACCGGUGGCGAAGGCGGAUCUCUGGGCCUGUUCUGACGCUGAGGCGCGAAAGCUAGGGGAGCGAACAGG
rnacentral:rRNA from 1 species